rnacentral:rRNA from 1 species
GAUGAACGCUGGCGGCGUGCCUAAUACAUGCAAGUCGAGCGAAUGGAUUAAGAGCUUGCUCUUAUGAAGUUAGCGGCGGACGGGUGAGUAACACGUGGGUAACCUGCCCAUAAGACUGGGAUAACUCCGGGAAACCGGGGCUAAUACCGGAUAACAUUUUGAACCGCAUGGUUCGAAAUUGAAAGGCGGCUUCGGCUGUCACUUAUGGAUGGACCCGCGUCGCAUUAGCUAGGUGGUGAGGUAACGGCUCACCAAGGCAACGAUGCGUAGACGGCGUGAGAGGGUGAUCGGCCACACUGGGACUUGGACACGGCCCAGGCUCCUACGGGAGGCAGCAGUAGGGAAUCUUCCGCAAUGGACGAAAGUCUGACGGAGCAACGCGGCGUGAGUGAUGAAGGCUUUCGGGUCGUAAAACUCUGUUGUUAGGGAAGAACAAGUGCUAGUUGAAUAAGCUGGCACCUUGACGGUACCUAACCAGAAAGCCACGGCUAACUACGUGCCAGCCGCCGCGGUAA